GCAGACCCAGGGAACUGAAACAUCUAAGUACCUGGAGGAAGAGAAAGAAAAAUCGAUUUCCUGAGUAGCGGCGAGCGAAACGGAAAGAGCCCAAACCAAGAAGCUUGCUUCUUGGGGUUGUAGGACACUCUAUACGGAGUUACAAAAGAAAGUUAUAAAUGAAGCGGUCUGGAAAGGCCCGCCAAAGACGGUAACAGCCCGGUAGUUGAAAUGGCUUUCCCUCCAGAGUGGAUCCUGAGUACGGCGGAACACGUGAAAUUCCGUCGGAAUCCGGGAGGACCAUCUCCCAAGGCUAAAUACUCCCUAGUGACCGAUAGUGAACCAGUACCGUGAGGGAAAGGUGAAAAGCACCCCGGAAGGGGAGUGAAACAGUUCCUGAAACCGUGUGCCUACAAGUAGUUAGAGCCCGUUAAUGGGUGAUAGCGUGCCUUUUGUAGAAUGAACCGGCGAGUUACGAUUUGUUGCAAGGUUAAGCGGAAAAAGCGGAGCCGUAGCGAAAGCGAGUCUGAAUAGGGCGCAUAAGUAACAGGUCGUAGACCCGAAACCAGGUGAUCUACCCAUGUCCAGGAUGAAGGUAAGGUAAUACUUACUGGAGGUCCGAACCCACGCACGUUGAAAAGUGCGGGGAUGAGGUGUGGGUAGCGGAGAAAUUCCAAUCGAACUUGGAGAUAGCUGGUUCUCUCCGAAAUAGCUUUAGGGCUAGCCUCGAGGUAAAGAGUCAUGGAGGUAGAGCACUGUUUGGACUAGGGGCCCUUCUCGGGUUACCGAAUUCAGAUAAACUCCGAAUGCCAUGUACUUAUACUCGGGAGUCAGACUGCGAGUGAUAAGAUCCGUAGUCGAAAGGGAAACAGCCCAGACCACCAGUUAAGGUCCCCAAAUAUAUGUUAAGUGGAAAAGGAUGUGGGGUUGCUUAGACAACCAGGAUGUUGGCUUAGAAGCAGCCACCAUUGAAAGAGUGCGUAAUAGCUCACUGGUCGAGUGACCCCGCGCCGAAAAUGUACCGGGGCUAAACAUAUUACCGAAACUGUGGAUGAACCUCUUCGGAGGUUCGUGGUAGGAGAGCGUUCUAAGGGCGGUGAAGUCAGACCGGAAGGACUGGUGGAGCGCUUAGAAGUGAGAAUGCCGGUAUGAGUAGCGAAAGAAGGGUGAGAAUCCCUUCCACCGAAUAUCUAAGGUUUCCUGAGGAAGGCUCGUCCGCUCAGGGUUAGUCGGGACCUAAGCCGAGGCCGAUAGGCGUAGGCGAUGGACAACAGGUAGAGAUUCCUGUACCAGUGCUAAUUGUUUAACCGAUGGGGUGACACAGAAGGAUAGGGAAUCGCACGAAUGGAAAUGUGCGUCCAAGCAGUGAGUGUGAGAAGUAGGCAAAUCCGCUUCUUGCGAAGCAUGAGCUGUGAUGGGGAAGGAAAUUAAGUACGGAAGUUCCUGAUUUCACGCUGUCAAGAAAAGCCUCUAGGAAGAGUAGUACUGCCCGUACCGCAAACCGACACAGGUAGAUGAGGAGAGAAUCCUAAGGUGAGCGAGAGAACUCUCGUUAAGGAACUCGGCAAAAUGACCCCGUAACUUCGGGAGAAGGGGUGCUCUAUUAGGGUGCAAGCCCGAGAGAGCCGCAGUGAAUAGGCCCAGGCGACUGUUUAGCAAAAACACAGGUCUCUGCAAAACCGUAAGGUGACGUAUAGGGGCUGACGCCUGCCCGGUGCUGGAAGGUUAAGAGGAGUGCUUAGCUUCGGCGAAGGUACGAAUUGAAGCCCCAGUAAACGGCGGCCGUAACUAUAACGGUCCUAAGGUAGCGAAAUUCCUUGUCGGGUAAGUUCCGACCCGCACGAAAGGCGCAACGAUCUGGGCACUGUCUCAACGAGAGACUCGGUGAAAUUAUAGUACCUGUGAAGAUGCAGGUUACCCGCGACAGGACGGAAAGACCCCGUGGAGCUUUACUGCAACCUGAUAUGGAAUGUUUGUACCGCUUGUACAGGAUAGGUAGGAGCCGAAGAGACGUGUGCGCUAGCAUACGAGGAGGCAAUGGUGGGAUACUACCCUGGCUGUAUG
rnacentral:rRNA from 1 species